rnacentral:rRNA from 1 species
GACGAACCGUCCUAACGUUGUUCGGAAUCACUGGGCUUAAAGGGCGCGUAGGCGGGUCAGCAAGUCUGGGGUGAAAUCUUUCGGCUUAACCGGAAAAGUGCCUUGGAUACUGCUGGUCUAGAGGGAGGUAGGGGCAUGUGGAACUUUCGGUGGAGCGGUGAAAUGCGUUGAUAUCGGAAGGAACGCCGGUGGCGAAAGCGACGUGCUGGAUCUCUUCUGACGCUGAGGCGCGAAAGCCAGGGGAGCAAACGGG